AAUUCAUCAACGAGCAUUUAAAAAUAUUUGGCAUCGUGUCUUUCAUUCGCAGCUCUCGUUGACACCCGCCUUUUGCUGACAAUAGCUCGUCAUUAAAAUAAGUACUUGAAACAAAGGCUCAAUAAAGCAGAGACAUUAGAAGCUUUAGUUCUUCGAACACAAAGAUCUACUCUCCGCUGACAAGCUUGUUCAUCAAUUCACAGAAUCUAUCGAUCGAAGAAAAGAAAAUCGUUUUAAAACAAAACUUUCUAAAGAAAAUGUGGGGAAAAAACGAUUUAUCGAUCGAAUCCACAAAAAAAAAGAUCAGCGAACAGGUGACGUGCUUUCAUUACAUGAGGCUGUCCAGCUCAAGUCACAAAGGGACGAUAUUUUAAGUUUAUCUACAGUCAACUAACUACAAACACAUGUGCCUGCGAAUAAUGUGGCUAAAAAAAGAAAGAGUGAAGAUGCCAAGAAAACAAGAAGGAAAUAGAAAUUAUUGGUUAAUAUACGUCACCCAAGAGGUCGACGAGAUGGUAUGGCAUGAGUCGUCGACAGAAGAACAGGAUCUCAUUUCCGGUUCAUUUAUCAUAUGUGCUCCAACGCCAGUUGAUAAAGAGUAGAAGACCAAAAAGAAAAAGGCGACGUAAAAAAAGAAAGCUUUCCAGGACCAAUAUUAAAGAACGUACACCCAGGUCCCAGUGAGAUUAGCAGACGGCUGCUUCCGACACACGGUGACGGCCCGUUCAUCAAAAAAGAGUAACAUGCAAUUGUUCGACACUAUCGCUCACUGUUCACUGUCAGGUUAGUGCAACUAACCCUCUCUGUCUUCUUCAUCUGAGAUCUCCCGCGAUGAAUAAUGCUACUGUACGUAAACAAUCUUCAAGACUUUGUUAGUUGUGCCUUUGUACUAAUCUGUGCCAGACGCCAUUUUCGAAGGAUCAAAGCAAGAGAAAAAAAAAAGCAAACAAAAAUGGCAUCUUAGGAAUGUUUAGUCAUCACACAGCACAGCUGGCCGUAACUAAUAAGAGCUUUUAAAUUCUGUUUCGAAAGGAAAAAAGACUUUUGGGUGAUCGCCCAGUAAUGCCUGCUUCCAAUUUCACGCAAUUGAACGUGCGGAACAAUUGACGUUCACAUAGCAAGACCGAGUUUUUUCUUUUCAUUCAAUUUUUUUUUUCUUAAACCAAUAUUGACUUAUACACAAAUGAUUUGCUUUAGCUCUCUUUUGUUUUUCGUAUGUUCCUGUGAUUAUUUAAUUCGUCAAGGCAGCGAACAUGCGACAGACCCACGAAGAACUCUGGCGAGGUUGAAAAAUUCCAGCAGCACAACCACACAUUAGUCGACCAAGACACCCUCCAAAAAGAGGAGAUAACAGUCGCCAGACCAGCUGUUAUUUCAACAAAAAAAUGCCUACAAAAAAAGCUUGUAAAACAGCGAGAAGAAACCAAGGAAAAAUUGCUCAAAGAGGGUAAUGGUGGGUGUGCGAACAUCCGAUUGGAACCCACGCGUUAUCAAGAGGUUCGUUGCCCAGAUUGCCGUACAAUGAACAUGUAAUGUUCAGUGUCCAGUAAUUAAAACAAAAAAUGGUGGAAAAAAAAUAACAACAUAAGAUUCAAAAAUCAACGAAGAGGUAGCAACUACAUUUUUUUUUAAUACUUUGGCCGCGCUAACCACACACACACACACACAAAUAAAAGUAAAAAUACAUUAAAAAGUUUAAAAUUAAACGGCAAAAAAUAUAUACCUCAAAGUCAAGGUUUUUUCAUUUUUGGUUCUUUCUUUCUAGCUGAUGGCCUCUACCGAGCAGUCGGACGGAAAGAAAAGAAUGAACGGACAAAAAAAAAACGAAACAGAAAUAACGCUUUAUUUAUUGUUUAAAAUUGAAAAAUAAGAAAUGUAGCUGCCGAGUUGGUUUGUCGUUUUGGAAAAAAUAUGCCGUGUAUUGUGCCACCGAAGACGGAUGAACAUUGCCGGGGCAAGGUUUAAAACUCGCGCUUAAAAACACAGCAGAUGGUAACUUUCUGGUGUUCUUGGUAUCCCCACUUUUUUUGUUUUUGUUGAAUUUUUGUUUUUCCUUUGAAAAGAAAGAAAAUGAAAAGAAAGUAAAAUGCAUUUUGAGCGGAAUACAAAGCUGGCCUCAUGAUUGCAGUACUUUUGUAUAGGUUUUUCAUGACUUGUCUUUCAAAGUUUUUCCUUUGCUGCCAUAAGAAACUAUCAUUCUACUGCUGAAAUGAUGUUUCUUCUACAUCCCCCUGCAAAAUUGUCUUCCUCACGAGACGUCCUUAAGUUUACGGAUGUUACUAAGGCCAAGGCCCAGAUACUACCUUUUUAUGAACUGUGAUUACAACCAUAUAAACCAGAAUUUACAAAGGGUCCACAAACUAGCGUCCUCUUAUCCGGGAAUAUCUUCUUCUGUAUCAUUUUUCUCUUUUCUUUCGAGAGUGAGUGUUUUAUCUUUGCGAUUAUUAUUUGUUAGAAUUUCUUGAUGAAAACAACGAAUGUAAACACGAAAGAGUCCUUCGACUAUCGC